UAAAAAAGAACGCCAGAGAGAGAGCGCGUUCGGACCGUUACUUCACUGAUCAAAACCAACUCAUCGAGUGAUAGAACAGCGAAACAGGGAACAGAUGGAGCCGCGAGACUCUAAGAAGCGAAAACGCCCAGAGCAAAACCUAGGAGAGCCUUGGAGGAGAAGCAUGUUGGAUAGCUUUUUCUCCUAUCUUGAAUCUGUGAUGGAAAAUCUACCUGAAGAUGCACAGAGAGAUUUGCAGGAAAGGAUACUUCAAUUCGUCCUCGAUGCAGUGAGACGACAUCAAGCUCUUUCUCCCCCUCCUGGUUAGCUAAGUAGCUAAGCCUUUCAAGACAUUGUCAAAGGAACUGCUACUGCCCAAUAUCUUAAAUGUCUACACCAUCCUCGCAGUGAUGCUGCAGUUUGCUGUCCAUUUCUCUGGUUUAAUGUUUCUUGUUUACCAUGCAAAACAGCUGACUUCUAGGUUUACACUCCUUGUAAUCCUAUAAAUUUCAUGUUCUUCGAGAAAAAUUCUUUAAAGAA